CAGCGAGUAAGCAAUGGACAGCAGCGACAAUAUACUCUGAUGCAGCAAGGUUUUUUACUUGAAGACAACUUCUGCACCUGAGAUCAAGAUAUGCCAACCAAAGAGGAACAAAGAACUGUCUGUACUGAGAGACGCGGCUCACCUUCUCCCUAAAACAGUGACAUUUUGCGUGUUACAUUAACUUUUAAAGACACAGACGGCUCAGCCGUGAAGAGUCUCAUUUCUGUAUUGUCCCUAAAGUUAUCCUGCUACCCUGCCACUAGGCCUCAUACAUUCAAUUUGGCAGCUGUCAAUUGGCAGGUGAAAUGGGAAAGUUGUUUGGACGACAAACCGCUGCAAUUAAAACUAUAAGCCCCAGGGCCUGACUGAUGGCAGGGUGCACUAGUUUAGAGACGUGAAUGAAAACAGAUCCUUGGAGGAGGAACUCGCGGGACGGUGUGUUGGAGCUGACCACGUCUGGGCCAGUCGGGCCUCAAGGUUACUUCCCCGCCGUAGGAGAGUAGGCCACCCCCCGGGUCAUUAGGAUGAGGCGAAAGGUAGGAAGGGGCAGGCCGCGCGUGGCAAGGGUCAUUUACUCCUCCCCGAAACUGGGGGAGGGCCCAGGCCCCUGGACCAGCGUCCGGGUCGUGUGGGGCUGCGGGCAGUCAUUCCGCAGCAGGGCCCUCCCGAGCCCGGGCUCGCGCUCCCCGCUGCCUCGGGAGGCCGCACCGAGCCGGCAUAGAGGCGGGGCCGCGGCGGUUCCCGGCGGCAGGCCGCGUCCGGGCCCACAGCGGGCGUCUAAGUGCCUGUGGUCCAGCAUCAUCCCCUCGCGGGCCGCCCUCACCUUGGCCAAGGAGCGGUACACACGACUCCAGCUCUGCAUCGUCCCUCGGUCCCGUCCCUCCAACCAGGGGUUUUCACCUCCGCUGAACGCCUGGUAAGACUUAUCCAAGGUCUCCCCACCCUGCGCCUGCGCAACAUAUACGUCAUCGCCGAGGAGCAGCGCGAUUGGCCCGAAAGGCAGAGGCUUUCCGGUCGCUUCGUCGUGCGCUGUCGUGAAGGGCGCUGCGCUUUGUGGCAGCUGGGGAAUUGGAGAACUGUUGCUCAAAUGACUGGAGUAGAGUUGCAAAUUAUCCUUGAAAGACGAACUAGAUAAAUAAAAAUGUUGUUUCUUC
rnacentral:lncRNA from 1 species